rnacentral:piRNA from 1 species
UAGCUUCCGAUGGAUUUAAAGAAUGAAAC